rnacentral:rRNA from 1 species
UACAGAGGGUGCGAGCGUUAAUCGGAAUUACUGGGCGUAAAGCGUGCGUAGACGGUUAUUUAAGUCGGGUGUGAAAGCCCCGGGCUCAACCUGGGAAUUGCAUUCGAGACUGAAUAGCUAGGGUACGGUAGAGGGAAGUGGAAUUUCCGGUGUAGCGGUGAAAUGCGUAGAUAUCGGAAGGAACAUCAGUGGCGAAAGCGACUUCCUGGACCAGUACCGACGUUCAGGCACGAAAGCGUGGGGAGCAAACAGGAUUAGAAACCCU